rnacentral:rRNA from 1 species
GACCACAGUCAUAUCACCCUUCAGCCCAAGACUGGUUACUCACUGAAGCUAAGCAGGGCUGAGUCUGGUCAGUACCUGGGUGGGAGACCACAUGGGGAAAAACUAGGUUGCUAUUGGAA